rnacentral:tRNA from 1 species
GCCUUCGUGGUGCGGUGCUUAGCACGCUCGACGCAUAUUCGAGAGGUCCGUGGUUCGAGUCCUGGCAAAGGCA